rnacentral:rRNA from 1 species
GACGAACGCUGGCGGCGUGCUUAAAACAUGAAAGUCGAACGGAAAGGCCCUGCUUUUGUGGGGUGCUCGAGUGGCGAACGGGUGAGUAACACGUGAGUAACCUGCCCUUGACUUUGGGAUAACUUCAGGAAACUGGGGCUAAUACCGGAUAGGAGCUCCUGCUGCAUGGUGGGGGUUGGAAAGUUUCGGCGGUUGGGGAUGGACUCGCGGCUUAUCAGCUUGUUGGUGGGGUAGUGGCUUACCAAGGCAUUGACGGGUAGCCGGCCUGAGAGGGUGACCGGCCACAUGGGGACUGAGAUACGGACCAGACGCCUACGGGACGCAGCAGUGGGAAGUAUUGCGCAAUGGGCCGGAGCCUGAUACAGCGACGCCGCGUUCGGGAUGCCGUCCUUCGAGUUGUAAACCGCUGUCGCCUGUGACGAAGCGUGAGUGACGGUAAUUGGUAAAGAAGCACCGGCUAACUACGUG